CAAAUUAGAUCUUGAUAAAGUAUUUCAUUUACAUUGAAAUGAUAUUGAAAAUAAUUCAAUUAAUUUGA
rnacentral:tRNA from 1 species